rnacentral:rRNA from 1 species
AUGACGCAGUCGCAGGCACGGGAGACACGGUACAACAUGGUGUCUCCCAUGGCAGUGAUGAUGCCCGUGCCGCUGUUGUCCCCCCGUGUUAGUCUGGAGCAACUCGCCACUCCUCCGGGAGCUGGCUUGGAGCGGCCAGUUGCUGAACCACGCACGGCUUGGAGCGGCAACUUGCUCCGUCCAGCUUGGAGGUGGAGCAGCGACCUCGUCACUCGUAUCCGACCGGCUCUGUGGGCCAUCCAGCCGGCUUUUAUGCCGGAGACCUAUUUUUCCUGCUCAUUGGAUGCCAUCAAAAGGGGGAAGAAAAUGGUGGAAGGAGGAGAGGGGAGCGGCGGAGUGGUGCAAUUCUUGCCCGACAUCUGA